rnacentral:rRNA from 1 species
CCUACGGGUGGCAGCAGUGAGGAAUAUUGGUCAAUGGUCGGGAGACUGAACCAGCCAAGCCGCGUGAGGGAUGAAGGUACAGAGUAUCGUAAACCUCUUUUGUCAGGGAACAAAGGCGGGGACGUGUCCCCGGCUGAGUGUACCUGAAGAAAAAGCAUCGGCUACCUCCGUGCCAGCAGCCGCGGUAAUAGGGAGGAUGCGACAGUUAUCCGGAUUUAUUGGGUUUAAAGGGUGGGCCGGCGGUCUGUUAAUGCAGCGGUCAAAGCCCGGGGCUCAACCCCGGCCCGCCGUUGAAACUGGCAGUCGAGAGUGGGAGAGAGGUAGGCGGAAGGCGCGGUGUAGCGGUGAAAUGCAUAGAUAUCGCGCAGAACUCCGAUUGCGAAGGCAGCAUGCCGGCUCCAAACUGACGCUGAGGCACGAAAGCGUGGGUAUCGAACAGGAUUAGAUACCCUUGUAGUC